AAAUUUAUUUUUCUAUAUAGUACCUUGCUAUUUAUUUUAACUUUAGGUUAUUAAUACCCAUUUCCAUACCCACGUAAGUCGAUUGCUUUUUAAGCAUCGCCAUCAACCUCACAUAGCUUACUCUUGGGCUUUCUUACAAUGAGCCAAAUCUCUUGCACUUACACUCAUAUAUCGCAUUAUUUGUUGUUUGGGCCCGAUUUAAU
rnacentral:lncRNA from 1 species